UGCAAUCCGCCAUUAACUAAGAAGAAGAAGAGUACUUGUUACAUCCAGAAGGUGGCAGUGGCGCAGCGCCAGCUGCCGUUAAACCGAAAGAAGGAGAAGAAGAUUUCAGCCAGCACAUGUGCGUUGUCACUUGACUGCUUCUUCUGAGUUAAUUUUGGCGGACAAGUUGCUGGUGGUCUUCGUUUUAGGAAGUUGUAAGAGGUGGAAAUUCUGAGGAUUUCUACUGUUCCACUGUCUCAAAGUUCGUAGACAAACAGACUUCCAAUCUCCUCAGUGUGUUGAAGAAGAAAGGAGGCUCUGCAGGAAGGGAACUUCGCAUACUUUUGGCCCAAAGCAACUGUUGAAAAGAGGAGGGAGAUCAUCCUCAGGGCAAUUGGUUUCUACCUGAUGAAGACCCAAACAUCCUCUUCAAAGAAAACCCGGUUGGUAAUUUCAGUAGUUACUACCUGCAUUAAACCAAAAGGCUACAGUUGUGGUCAAAAGUUUACAUACACUUGUAAACAACAUGUAUUUCAUGGCAUUUAAAACCAACUGCCAUGAAAUACAUGAAAAUGAAUUGUGAUUUUGCCUGAAAUAAAGAAACAAAACAGACAGCUUGUUAUGUCCCCUCCUUGUCUAGGAGUGGGGGACUAACAAAGAGAUAAAUAAACCGGGUGGAAAAACAAAGGAUGACCCAAAACGUGUCAAGUUAAUGUAAUUAUUCUAAGUUAGUAACAAAAAAGGUGUUAACAACUGAAGGCGAUCUCUGCUCACAUUAGAGACGAUAUGGCGUUUGUUAUGUAAAGUAAAUUAAUUAAGAUAUUCAGCGGAAAAUAUGCAACACAAUACAGAGUCUCUACGGCUCCCACCGCGCUGGUGAGGCAUAUGUGGUGAUCGACGCUCCUCACCACACCGGCUUCUAGCUGGUCGUGAACACGGGGCCGAUGGCUGCCUCCGCAGAGUCACCAGACGCACAGCGAUCGGCAUCCAGCAGAUCACGUCUCGCUACGGACCACACAAUAAACCACACAGUAAGCCAACCACACUGUAAGCCACACAAUAAGUCACACAGUCUAACGCGAGCAACCACGGAAGAGUGAGCCUGAGAGCUCUUCACUGGCUCAGCUUAUGUGCCCCACUGAUUGCCGCUGAUCAGCUCCAGCUGCGGGAUUUACGCAGCGCCAGGCUCAGGGCUCAGGUACACAGCUUCAGAAAAGAGACAAGCACAACCGACAGUACUCACGGGUCGUAACACAGCUGUUUGAAUAACGGCUGCUACUAAACUUUCACAUGAUCAACAAAAUCAAUAUGCAACUAACGUUAAUGAUUUUCGCCCGCACACUGUGCAGCACGGUGACACAUAGCUAGCGUCUUCUCCUCCUCCUUCACAGGACAGCUAUGUGACAGGUGGCAGUAGGUGACGGUGAAAAUGAGCAGAGGAAAAUAUGAGUGCUACAUUUUAGUCUGGCUGUAAAUGUACAGUGUAGGUUACAGUUUGUCCGUUAAUUAAAGUCUG